AAGUACUGAUGACCAAAAGAAAUUUUUCGACAGUGAGUUCAACAAAUAAAGAUGGUGUUAACCCUAUUUACAUGUCUCUAGGUAGACUGAAGGAUUUUGAGUCAUUAACAGUGAGCUUCAGAUAUUUCUUUUUGGGUAUUCAUUUAUAUAUUUUAAUCAGUUUCUAUUGCAGUAAGAUUCCAAUAGAAGGAAAACAAUGCUUCAUUUUUUGUUGAAAGCAAACAUACAUUAUAAGUUGUAUAAUACACAAUGAUUAAUGAAGUUUUACUGUGUGUGUGUGCAUGUGUGUAUGUUUUUAAAAUUACGGAUGAAUACAAAUAAAAACAAUCAGAAUACAAAAAAAUUAACUGUGUAGUGUAUGCUUAUACACAUGCAUAUAUGUAUAUAUAAAUGGGAUUGUUCUAUAACUUGCUUUUUUCACUUAAUAUAUACUUCUGCAUCGUUAAUAAAACUGAAAGAGGAAAUGAUUGGAUAUAGAUAGGUCCCUAUUUCCCCUUGCAAUGUAAACUCUGGACUUACUGGGCUAUGGAGAUCAGUG
rnacentral:lncRNA from 10 species